AGUCCACGCCGUAAACGAUGUCUACUUGGAGGUUGGUGUCUUGAACACUGGCUUUCGGAGCUAACGCGUUAAGUAGACCGCCUGGGGAGUACGGUCGCAAGAUUAAAACUCAAAUGAAUUGACGGGGGCCCGCACAAGCGGUGGAGCAUGUGGUUUAAUUCGAUGCAACGCGAAGAACCUUACCUACUCUUGACAUCCAGAGAACUUAGCAGAGAUGCUUUGGUGCCUUCGGGAACUCUGAGACAGGUGCUGCAUGGCUGACGUCAGCUCGUGUUGUGAAAUGUUGGGUUAAGUCCCGCAACGAGCGCAACCCUUAUCCUUGUUUGCCAGCACUUCGGGUGGGAUCUCCAGGGAGACUGCCGGUGAUAAACCGGAGGAAGGUGGGGACGACGUCAAGUCAUCAUGGCCCUUACGAGUAGGGCUACACACGUGCUACAAUGGCAUAUACAGAGGGCAGCAAGACCGCGAGGUGGAGCGAAUCCCACAAAGUAUGUCGUAGUCCGGAUUGGAGUCUGCAACUCGACUCCAUGAAGUCGGAAUCGCUAGUAAUCGUAGAUCAGAAUGCCACGGUGAAUACGUUCCCGGGCCUUGUACACACCGCCCGUCACACCAUGGGAGUGGGCUGCACCAGAAGUAGAUAGCUUAAC
rnacentral:rRNA from 1 species